rnacentral:rRNA from 1 species
GAGGAGUGCAAUAGAACCUGAAACCGUGCGCUUACAAGCGGUCGGAGCCACUUCGUGUGGUGACGGCGUGCCUUUUGCAUAAUGAGCCUACGAGUUGCGUUUCACUGGCAAGGCUAAGGGAUUUAGUCCCGCAACCGAAGCGAAAGCGAGUCUGAAGAGGGCGCUUAGUCAGUGGAAGCAGACGCGAAACUUUGUGAUCUACCCUUGAGCAGGUUGAAGGGGCCGUAACAGGCUCUGGAGGACCGAACCAAUAGUCGUUGAAAAGACUCUGGAUGACUUGAGGGUAGGGGUGAAAGGCUAAUCAAACUGAGAGAUAGCUCGUACUCCCCGAAAUGCCUUUAGGGGCAGCCUGGAGUUAGUCUUCAAGAGGUAAAGCUACUGAUAGGAUGCGGGGGCUUCGCCGCCUACCAAUUCCUGACAAACUCAGAAUGCUUGAAGAUGAUGCUCCGGAGAGAGGCGGCGGGUGCUAAUAUCCGUUGCCGAGAGGGCAAUAACCCAGACCUGCGGCUAAGGUCCCGGAAUUCACGCUAAGUUAGACAAACGUGGUUGCACUGCAUUGACAGCUAGGAUGUUGGCUUGGAAGCAGCCAUACAUUUAAAGAGUGCGUAACAGCUCACUAGUCGAGCGGUGCUGCAUGGAUGAUGAACGGGUAUAAGACAGAUGCCGAAGGCGCAGGAUAGCAUAUUGAAAAAGUAUCGGUAGGGGAGCAUACCAUGUGCGUUGAAUGUAGGGGAUGACCCCUGCUGGAGCGCAUGGUAAAGCAAAUGUAGGUAUAAGUAACGAUAAGGAGGGUGAGAUUCCCUCCCGCCGCAAGACCAAGGUUUCCCGGGCAAUGUCAAUCAGCCCGGGGUCAGUCGGGUCCUAAGUCUCAGCCGAACGGCGAGGGCGAUGGCAGAAACGGUUAAUAUUCCGUUACUAGCCUUGGGAGCGAUGUGGAGACGGAGCAGUGAAACUGCCGCGGACUUACGGAAUAGUCCGUUAAAGAGUGUAGGUGUUGAGGAAAGCAGGCAAAUCCACUUUCCGAGCCGAACUUGACAGUAUUCCAUUCCCUUCGGGGAAAGGAAAUAGCGCAGGUAAUCAGACUUCCAAGAAAAUCCGCUAAGCUUAAUCCCAGGGGUACCCGUACCGUAAACGGACACACGUAGUCGUGUAGAACAUACUGAGGCGUUGGGAGAUUCAUGGUUAAGGAACUAGGCAAAUUGACCCCGUAACUUCGGGAUAAGGGGUCCUCGUGAGAGCGAGGCGCAGAGAAUAGGUCCAGGCAACUGUUUAACAAAAACACAGGGCUGUGCAAACUCGAAAGAUGAGGUAUACAGCCUGACACCUGCCCGGUGCCGGAAGGUUAAGAGGAGAUGUCAGCAGCAAUGUGAAGCAUUGAAUUGAAGCCCCGGUAAACGGCGGCCGUAACUAUAACGGUCCUAAGGUAGCGAAAUUCCUUGUCGGGUAAGUUCCGACCUGCACGAAUGGUGUAAUGAUCCGGACACUGUCUCAACCAUGAUCCCAGUGAAAUUGUAGUAUCGGUGAAGAUGCCGAUUACCCGCGAUGGGACGAAAAGACCCCGUGAACCUUUACUACAGCUUAGCACUGAAUUUGGUCAUCUGAUGUGUAGGAUAGGCCGGAGGCUUUGAAGCGGGUACGCCAGUAUUCGUGGAGCCAUCCUUGAAAUACGGCCCUUUGGCUGUCUGAAUUCUAACCCGCAGCUGCGGGGACACUGCUUGGUGGGUAGUUUGACUGGGGUGGUCGCCUCCAAAAGCGUAACGGAGGCUUCCAAAGGUACCCUCGGGCCGAUUGGUAACCGGCCUCAUAGACUGUAAUGGCAUAAGGGUGCUUGACUGGGAGGCAGACAUGCCGAGCAGGUGGGAAACCAGGGCAUAGUGAUCCGACGGAUGUGUGUGGAACUCCGUCGCUCAAA